rnacentral:rRNA from 1 species
CCUACGGGAGGCAGCAGUGAGGAAUAUUGGGCAAUGGACGCAAGUCUGACCCAGCCAAGUCGCGUGAAGGAUGACUGCCCUAUGGUUGGUAACCUUCGUUUAUAUGGGAGUAAAGUGUUCCACGUGUGUGCUUUUGUAUGUACCCUAUGAAUAAGGAUCGGCUAACUACGUGCCAGCAGCCGCGGUAAUACUGAGGAUCCGAGCGUUGUUCGGAUUGAAUGGGUGGAAAGGGAGCGUAGGUGGGGUGUUAAGGCAGUUGUGAAAGUUUGCGGCUCAACCGUAAAAUUGCAGUUGAAACUGGUAGUCUAGAGUACAGUAGAGGUGAGUGGAAUUCGUGGUGUAGCGGUGAAAUGCGUAGAGAUCACGAAGAACUUCGAUUGCGAAGGCAGCUCACUGGACUGUAACUGACACUGAGGCUCGAAAGUGUGGGUAUCAAACAGGAUUAGAUACCCUGGUAGUC